rnacentral:rRNA from 1 species
UACGAAGGGGGCUAGCGUUGCUCGGAAUCACUGGGCGUAAAGCGCACGUAGGCGGCUUGUUAAGUCAGGGGUGAAAUCCUGGAGCUCAACUCCAGAACUGCCUUUGAUACUGGCGAGCUUGAGUUCGGGAGAGGUGAGUGGAACUGCGAGUGUAGAGGUGAAAUUCGUAGAUAUUCGCAAGAACACCAGUGGCGAAGGCGGACUCACUGGCCUGAUACUGACGCUGAGGUGCGAAAGCGUGGGGAGCAAACAGG